rnacentral:rRNA from 1 species
GUGUCAGCAGCCGCGGUAAUACGUAGGGGGCUAGCGUUGUCCGGAAUUAUUGGGCGUAAAGCGCGUGUAGGCGGCUUGCCAAGUCCGGUGUGAAAACUGAGGGCUCAACCCUCAGCCUGCACUGGAAACUGGCUUGCUAGAGUCCGGAAGAGGAGACUGGAAUUCCUGGUGUAGCGGUGAAAUGCGCAGAUAUCAGGAAGAACACCCGUGGCGAAGGCGGGUCUCUGGGACGGUACUGACGCUGAGACGCGAAAGCGUGGGGAGCAAACAGGAUUAGAUACCCUGGUAGUCCACGCCGUAAACGAUGGGCACUAGGUGUGGGAGGUGUCGACUCCUUCCGUGCCGAAGCUAACGCAUUAAGUGCCCCGCCUGGGGAGUACGGCCGCAAGGCUAAA